AGCGAACGCUGGCGGCAGGCUUAACACAUGCAAGUCGAACGGUCCUUCGGGAUAGUGGCGGACGGGUGAGUAACACGUGGGAACGUACCCUUAGGUUCGGAACAACACAGGGAAACUUGUGCUAAUACCGGAUAAGCCCUUCGGGGGAAAGAUUUAUCGCCUUUGGAGCGGCCCGCGUCUGAUUAGCUUGUUGGUGAGGUAAUGGCUCACCAAGGCUACGAUCAGUAGCUGGUCUGAGAGGAUGGCCAGCCACACUGGGACUGAGACACGGCCCAGACUCCUACGGGAGGCAGCAGUGGGGAAUCUUGCGCAAUGGGCGAAAGCCUGACGCAGCCAUGCCGCGUGGAUGAUGAAGGUCUUAGGAUUGUAAAAUCCUUUCACCGGGGACGAUAAUGACGGUACCCGGAGAAGAAGCCCCGGCUAACUUCGUGCCAGCCGCCGCAGUAA
rnacentral:rRNA from 1 species